rnacentral:rRNA from 1 species
AGUGGCGGACGGGUGAGUAACGCGUGACAAUAAGGUUAAAGGUCGGGGACAACCACUGGAAACGGUGGCUAAUCCCGUAUGUGCCGCAAGGUAAAAGGCUUGCUGCCUGAAGAUGAGCUCGCGUCUGAUUAGCUAGUAGGUGGGGUAAGAGCCUACCUAGGCGACGAUCAGUAGCUGGUCUGAGAGGACGAUCAGCCACACUGGGACUGAGACACGGUCCAGACUCCUACGGGAGGCAGCAGUGGGGAAUUUUGGACAAUGGGGGCAACCCUGAUCCAGCAAUGCCGCGUGGGUGAAGAAGGUCUUCGGAUUGUAAAGCCCUUUCGGCGGGGACGAUGAUGACGGUACCCGCAAAAGAAGCCCCGGCUAACUUCGUGCCAGCAGCCGCGGUAAUA